rnacentral:misc_RNA from 1 species
UUUCCGUAGGUGAACCUGCGGAAGGAUCAUUCAUAAUAAAGUGUUUUAUGGCACUUUUUAAAAAUCCAUAUCCACCUUGUGUGCAAUGUUAGAUCUCGUCAAUCUUGGCGAGAUUUUUAUACAUCAACUCAUUCUUUAACUAAUUUGUCUGAAAAAUAUUAUGGAUACUUAAUUCAAAAUACGACUUUCAACAACGGAUCUCUUGGCUCUC